rnacentral:rRNA from 1 species
UUCCGGUUGAUCCUGCCGGACCCGACUGCUAUUUGGGUGAGGAUAAACCAUGCGAGUUGUAUGGGAUACCUAAAUUUCCCAUAGCAAACUGCUUAGUAACACAUGAUCAACUUACCCUAUGGAGAAAUAUAACCUCGGGAAACUGAGGAUAAUGCUUCAUAGUUGAAUAGGCUUGGAAAAGUUUUUCAAUGAAAGGGAUAAGAAAAAUGGUUCUUAUCUGCCAUAGGAUAGGAUCGUGCUCGAUUAUGGUUGUUGGUGAGGUAACGGCUCACCAAGCCGAUAAUCGAUAGGGGCCGUGAGAGCGGGAGCCCCAAGAUGGGUACUGAGACAGCGACCCAGGCCUUACGAGGCGCAGCAGGUACGAAACCUCCGCAAUACACGAAAGUGUGACGGGGUUACCCAAAGUGUUCAUUAUAGAACUGUGGCAGGUGAGUAAUGUCCCCUGCUAGAAAGGAGAGGGCAAGGCUGGUGCCAGCCGCCGCGGUAAAACCAGCUCUUCAAGUGGUCGGGAUAAUUAUUGGGCUUAAAGUGUCCGUAGCCGGUUUAGUAAGUUCCUGGUAAAAUCAGGUAGCUUAACUAUCUGCAUGCUAGGAAUACUGCUAUACUAGAGGGCGGGAGAGGUCUGAGGUACUACAGGGGUAGGGGUGAAAUCUUAUAAUCCUUGUAGGACCACCAGUGGCGAAGGCGUCAGACUGGAACGCGCCUGACGGUGAGGGACGAAAGCCAGGGGAGCGAACCGGAUUAGAUACCCGGGUAGUCCUGGCCGUAAACGAUGCAUACUAGGUGAUGAUACGGCCAUGAGCCGUGUCAGUGCCGUAGGGAAACCGUUAAGUGUGCCGCCUGGGAAGUACGGUCGCAAGGCUAAAACUUAAAGGAAUUGGCGGGGGAGCACCACAAGGGGUGAAGCCUGCGGUUCAAUUGGAUUCAACGCCGGA